rnacentral:lncRNA from 1 species
UGGGGGCAAAAUAUAUGCACUGACCAACAAAUUACAAUUUAUUCACGGUUAAUUUAAUUUUAAAUUACAUCAUUAUCUAUAUUACUUGCCAAACAGUAUGACUUAAGAGUAAAGGAAACAAGACUGGAGAGAGAUCAAUUUGGUUAAAAUUCACUAUUUUUUAAAGACUUAAGCAAUAAUGUUAAAAAUCUUUCUCCUGAUUAAGGGUCUUUAUAUGAUGUUAUGACUAAAUGGUACCUGACUUUCAGUCUAAACCCUCUUAAAACCUUCAGUUACCUAUAAAAAAAAAUCUAUAUCUGGCCUUAUUGAUAGAAAAAUACUUAAAAUUGUAUCUUAAAGGUUUGUGGAAAUACAAUAGAAAAUGAGAAAACUAAAUACAUGAACUUUGCUUUAUGCCUACUAUUACAUGUUAAAUUAAAUAGCUUAAUUCUCC